rnacentral:rRNA from 1 species
GACGAACGCUGGCGGCGUGCUUAACACAUGCAAGUCGAACGGAAAGGCCCUGCUUUUGUGGGGUGCUCGAGUGGCGAACGGGUGAGUAACACGUGAGUAACCUGCCCUUGACUUUGGGAUAACUUCAGGAAACUGGGGCUAAUACCGGAUAGGAGCUCCUGCUGCAUGGUGGGGGUUGGAAAGUUUCGGCGGGUGGGGGUGGACUCGCGGCUUAUCAGCUUGUUGGUGGGGUAGUGGCUUACCAAGGCUUUGACGGGUAGCCGGCCUGAGAGGGUGACCGGCCACAUUGGGACUGAGAUACGGCCCAGACUCCUACGGGAGGCAGCAGUGGGGAAUAUUGCACAAUGGGCGGAAGCCUGAUGCAGCAACGCCGCGUGCGGGAUGACGGCCUUCGGGUUGUAAACCGCUUUCGCCUGUGACGAAGCGUGAGUGACGGUAAUGGGUAAAGAAGCACCGGCUAACUACGUG